rnacentral:rRNA from 1 species
AAUGAACGUUGGCGGCGUGGAUUAGGCAUGCAAGUCGCGCGGAAAGGCCCCUUCGGGGGUGGCUCGAGCGGCGAAAGGGAGAGUAACCCGUGGAUUACCUACCCUCAGGCCCGGGACUAGCUGCGGGAAACCGCAAUUAAUACCGGAUAAUGUCCCUGGACCAAAGGUAGUGAUUCCUCCUGAGGAUGGGUCCGCGUCCUAUUAGCUAGUUGGUAGGGUAACGGCCUACCAAGGCGAUGAUGGGUACGUGGGGGUGAGAGCAUGACCCAGCUCACUGGGACUGAGACACUGCCCAGACACCUACGGGUGGCUGCAGUCGAGGAUCUUCGGCAAUGAGCGCAAGCUUGACCGAGCGACGCCGCGUGCGGGAUGAAGGCC